GAGAAGAGAAGAGAAGAGAAGAGAAGAGAAGAGAAGAGAAGAGAAGAGAAGAGAAGAGAAGAGAAGAGAAGAGAAGAGAAGAGAAGAGAAGAGAAGAGAAGAGAAGAGAAGAGAAGAGAAGAGAAGAGAAGAGAAGAGAAGAGAAGAGAAGAGAAGAGAAGAGAAGAGAAGAGAAGAAACCUCUAGGGUAGAAAUCUGCUUUGUUGUGUUGUUUUUUUUUUGAGGGGUUGGGUUUUUUUGGUUUUUUUCUUUUGUAAUUGUUUUCCCUGGCCAGCACAGGAAAUGCUCUGCAGCCUGACACGAAGUAACUCCCUCCUGCUUUUAAACACAAUGUCAGCCGUGAAUAAACAGGAAAAAACCUCUCCUGCUCAGCAGAGCCCUUCCCAGGCAACGUCUCCUCUGGAGCUGCUCCUGGGAGCUCAGAUCCACUGAAGGUGUAAAAAUAGCACCUGCAGAGUCAGCACCAGCCCUGCUCCUGGAAAAGUUGUAUGGCUUUUUGCUUUUUUUUUUUUUUUUUUUUUUUUUUUUUUUUGGGUUUUUUUUUUUCCCCCCCCCCCCCCCCCCCCCCCCCCCCUUGCUUUUUUUUUUUUUUUUUUUUUUUUUUCCUGGGCUUUAUUUAUUUUCCAAAACCUGUUCCAAACUCUCUGGAAGGAAGUGGGGACUCUCCCAGGCCACCUCAACCUGAACAAGAUCCCACCUGGGGCAGCCCUCAGCAAACCAGAAUGGAUUUCCUGGGGAUUUGAGGUCCUGGAAUAUUUCUAGGGAGAGAUGAUGAGGAAAACCCAAUCCUCAGCAGAGCCAAAGCUCAGAGUGUCCCCAAAAUCUGUUCCAUUGGGGUUUAUUCCAUUAUUCCAGAUGUGUUUCAUUGGGGUUUAUUCCAUUAUUGCAGGUUCCAUUGGGGGUUAUUCCAUUAUUCCAGAUGUGUUUUCUAGUGGGGCUUAUUCCAUUAUUCCAGGGUGUGUUCCAUUGGGGUUAUUCCAUUAUUCCAGGGGGGUUUAUUCCAUUAUUCCAGGUGUGUUCCAGUGGGGGUUAUUCCAUUAUUCCAGUGGGGUUUAUUCCAUUUUUCCAGGUGUGUUCCACUGGGUUUCCCAGACACCACUGGACCCUGAUUCCUGCAGUUACAGUUUUUAAACCCAAUAGUUUUUCAGACUUUUCAUCCCCUCCAGUCUGAGCCCAGGGCUCAGCACCAGGCUGCAUUUCCUCUCCUCACACAGAGGCUGAGCACAAGAUCCCAACAAACACCUCCCAGCCCAGGCUGGAUGUGCCAGCUCCCGUUUCCCUGUGGCACAGAGCAGGAAUGCAAAUGGGGAACAGACAGAGCUCAUCACCAGGGGGAACAGCCUGGCCUCUCCCAGGGCACUCUGAGCUCUUCCUCCAGCCUGUUUUUGGGGCUGAAUGCUGCCAGUUCCCUGCUGGUGUGAAAGAAGGAGAUGCUGUGUGUGAGCUCUGUUCCCAUGCCAACAGCCCUCCAGCAGCACAGAGGACAUUCCCUCUCCUGGGCAGGUUUUAGCAGUGCCUUGCUAAGCCCUGGAGCUGGUUUUGGGGACAGAGGGCUGUGUGUGCUGCUGCCGAGCAGAAAUCAGCCAGCACUCCUGAAACUGUGAGAGAGAGAGGCUGGAAUCUGUGACAGACAGACCCAAG
rnacentral:lncRNA from 12 species